rnacentral:rRNA from 1 species
UACGUAGGGGGCAAGCGUUGUCCGGAAUUAUUGGGCGUAAAGAGCGUGUAGGCGGCCAGAUAAGUCCGCUGUGAAAUCUCGAGGCUCAACUUCGAGCUGUCGGUGGAAACUAUCUGGCUAGAGUCCGGAAGAGGAGAAUGGAAUUCCUGGUGUAGCGGUGAAAUGCGCAGAUAUCAGGAAGAACACCCGUGGCGGAAGGCGGUUCUCUGGGACGGUACUGACGCUGGAGACGCGAAAGCGUGGGGAGCGAACAGG